UUGAUCUGAGAGAUCAGGACCAAUUUGAUCUUCUGCCUGUGUCAUUCAUGCACAUAACACCUGAAAGGUGUCAAAGCAAAGACACGUCCCUCGAAUGUCAAGCUCUUAAUAAUUUAGAGCCCUUUCAUUCAUCCAUCUCUUCUGAAAACACCGAGCUAAAGAGUGGUCAGAUUAAUCCUACUGUAGAUUCAGAACAGUGUGUUCAAGUCACAGAUCCAAUUCAGAGGCCAUGUGUUACUUCAGACAAUGAAGCUGUAUCAAGUGAUCAUUUAUUGAAUGAAGAGAACCAGACAGGUGAUCUAGAUUUCAUGGAUACAACUAACAUCACUGAUCAUUUAGAAACAGAUACAAAUGUCCCUUUCAGAGGAAUUUCUCAUGACACAUUCCUGCAUGGUCCAGUUGCAAUCAAUGUGCAGGGUGCAGCUACUGGUUUAAAGCAACUGAAAAAACUUAAUAAGUCUCGAAGGCAUAGGGCUUACUGUAAAAAAUGGCAAAAAGACACAGCACAAAGUCUAGAUGGCAACAAAAGCAAACAGGAAAAAAGUUAUGACUACAAAAAAAGUGCUGAAUACAAGAAAAGACAUAAAAAAGCAAUGACAAACAAGUAUUGGACUAAUGUAAAUUACAGAGAAAAACACAAACAAGUAAUGAAAGAUAUGUAUAAAAAUGUUGAUGAAUACAGAGUAAGAAAAAGAGGUAAAAUAAUCAGUGACUACCACAAUGAUGAAAAAUUCAGGGUAAAACAAAAAAACUGCAUAAUUGCAAAUUAUAGGACAAACACACAAUUCAAGGAAAAACAAAAGAAAUACAUCAUUACAAAUUAUAAGAAUAUUGCACAAUUCAGGGAAAAACAAAAGAAGUACAUCAAUACAAAUUAUAAGAAUAUUACACAAUUCAGGGAAAAACAAAAGAAAUACAUCAUUACAAAUUAUAAAAAUAAUCUUAAAUAUAAGGAGCAGCACAAACGUUAUAUGUCUGAAAGGUAUUUGAAAGAUGAGCUUUUCAGGCAAAAUAAAAAAGAUAGGUUUACAAGCAAAAUUAAAAAUUUGAACUUCUAUGAACAAAGAAAGAGAAGGUUCAAACAGCUUUAUCAGCAUGAUCCACACUUCAGAGCACGUCAGAAAGAAUACUAUUUAUUUAAAUCUUAUAAAAACAAAAGACACAGUGCACUACUCAAGAUUCAGUGUGCAGAACACAUACGGUGCAAAUACCAUAAAAUUGAUCAUAUUCGCAAGCAGAGAGAAAUAUGCAUGUCGAGCAAACCAGUUCAAAUUCAUGAUCUAGUGUCAUUACAGGCAUUAACCCUCUGGAGUCUAAGGGUAUUUUUGGGGCCUGGAGAAGUUUUGUCAUGCCCUGACAUUUGUGCUUUUUUCAGUUUCUUAUAAAUAUCUAAAUGGCUAAAGUCUAAUCUCACUGUAAUCAGCACAAACUGGGCUAUAAUAAUAUGUGAGCANNNNNNNNNNNNNNNNNNNNNNNNNNNNNNNNNNNNNN
ensembl:lncRNA